AAACAGGUCUUUUUAAAGAUCAUUUAUUUUAUUUGAAAAGCAUAGU
rfam:Oryctolagus cuniculus chromosome 16, whole genome shotgun sequence.